rnacentral:lncRNA from 1 species
GGUUAUUUAUUAUACAAUUACAUAAAAAUUAAAGUAUUAUAAACGUUUUAAAAAAAUACUUACGUUUUAAAUUAUUACAACUAUGGAUCACAAUGUAAAUAAUAAUAAAAAAAGCUUACAUUUUAAUGUGUGUUUGGUUUAUCAACUCUACUCACGUCUGAUGCUAAAAAUUCAAUAUAUUUCAAUUUGAUCCGAAUCCGACGAAAUUAAUGGGAGAUGGAUUUACGGUUUUAAUCCGAUAACCCAAUCGAGAUUCAAAUUCGAUAAUUCGUUAACUAAAUAAAUCAAAUAUGGAUAUAGAUCGAUCCGAUCUGAUCCGAUAUCACUAAAACAUACCAAAAUGAUAUUUUAGACCUUCUAUUAUAAUAAGUGAGCCCAUCAAUAUAAGUCAAUCUAAUCUGAUAAAUAAAUAAAAUCUUGAUUUAUCUAAUUUUUUUAAUUUCGAAUCGGAUAUCCAAUAACAUAGUUAAUCGAAUAUGGAUUUAACAUUCAAAUAUC